UACGUAGGUGGCAAGCGUUAUCCGGAUUUACUGGGUGUAAAGGGCGUGUAGGUGGGGAAGCAAGUCAGAUGUGAAAACCACGGGCUCAACCUGUGGCCUGCAUUUGAAACUGUUUUUCUUGAGUGCUGGAGAGGCAAUCGGAAUUCCGUGUGUAGCGGUGAAAUGCGUAGAUAUACGGAGGAACACCAGUGGCGAAGGCGGAUUGCUGGACAGUAACUGACGCUGAGGCGCGAAAGCGUGGGGAGCAAACAGG
rnacentral:rRNA from 1 species